UCAAUUAAAGACCGUUCAUAAUUGAAUUCAUUGAUGUCAUUGUCCUGCUCAGUUCAUUUUAAAUAGUAUCUGUGCAAUCAAGUCGACGAUAUCGCUGAAA